UGCAUUCACUACUGUAAGUCGCUCUGGAUAAGAGCGUCUGCUAAAUGACAAUGU
rfam:Salmo salar isolate Sally breed double haploid chromosome ssa16, whole genome shotgun sequence.